AACGUACGCUGGCGGCACGCCUAACACAUGCAAGUCGAACGAAGUAGCAAUACUUAGUGGCAGACGGGUGAGUAACAUGUAGGUAUCUGCCCUUUGGCCUGGAAUAACACGAGGAAACUUGUGCUAAUACCGGAUAAGUCUUUACGGAGAAAGCUUUAUGCACCAUUGGAUGAGCCUGCACUUGAUUAGUUUGUUGGUGGGGUAAUGGCCUACCAAGACUGUGAUCAAUAGCUGAUUUGAGAGGAUGAUCAGCCACAUUGGGACUGAGACACGGCCCAAACUCCUACGGGAGGCAGCAGUGGGGAAUCUUGCACAAUGGAGGAAACUCUGAUGCAGCGAUGCCGCGUGAGUGAAGAAGGCCCUUGGGUUGUAAAGCUCUUUCGUCGGGGAAGAAAAUGACUGUACCCGAAUAAGAAGGUCCGGCUAACUUCGUGCCAGCAGCCGCGGUAAUACGAAGGGACCUAGCGUAGUUCGGAAUUACUGGGCUUAAAGAGUUCGUAGGUGGUUGAAAAAGUUGGUGGUGAAAUCCCAGAGCUUAACUCUGGAACUGCCAUCAAAACUUUUCAGCUAGAGUAUGAUAGAGGAAAGCAGAAUUUCUAGUGUAGAGGUGAAAUUCGUAGAUAUUAGAAAGAAUACCAAUUGCGAAGGCAGCUUUCUGGAUCAUACUGACACUGAGAAA
rnacentral:rRNA from 1 species